rnacentral:rRNA from 1 species
CGGGACGGGUGAGUAAUGUAUGGGGAUCUGCCUGAUGGCGGGGGAUAACUACUGGAAACGGUAGCUAAUACCGCAUAAUGUCUACGGACCAAAGCGGGGGACCUCCGGGCCUCGCGCCAUCAGAUGAACCCAUAUGGGAUUAGCUAGUAGGUAAGGUAACGGCUUACCUAGGCGACGAUCCCUAGCUGGUCUGAGAGGAUGAUCAGCCACACUGGGACUGAGACACGGUCCAG